ensembl:piRNA 21ur-12800 ncRNA
AUUUAAUGUUCAUUUUUAAGC